GCUACAGAUGACGACCGGCGCACGGGUGAGUAACGCGUAUGCAACCUGCCUUUGACAGGGGGAUAGCCCGGAGAAAUCCGGAUUAAUAUCCCAUGGUAUUUACAGAUCGCAUGGUUUGUAAAUUAAAGAUUUUAUCGGUCAAAGAUGGGCAUGCGUGACAUUAGCUAGUUGGUAAGGUAACGGCUUACCAAGGCUGCGAUGUCUAGGGGUUCUGAGAGGAUGAUCCCCCACACUGGUACUGAGACACGGACCAGACUCCUACGGGAGGCAGCAGUGAGGAAUAUUGGUCAAUGGGCGCAAGCCUGAACCAGCCAUCCCGCGUGAAGGAAGACUGCCCUAUGGGUUGUAAACUUCUUUUCUGCACCAAGAAUGGUUACUACGUGUAGUGAUUUGACGGUAGUGCAGGAAUAAGCAUCGGCUAACUCCGUGCCAGCAGCCGCGGUAAUACGGAGGAUGCAAGCGUUAUCCGGAUUCAUUGGGUUUAAAGGGUACGUAGGUGGCCA
rnacentral:rRNA from 1 species